rnacentral:RNase_P_RNA from 1 species
AAAGCAGGUCGGCUUAUCGCUACUGCUAUAGGCAGUAGAGGAAAGUCGGGGCAGCACAGAGCACCACAGCGGUUAACGGCCGUCAGGGAGUAAUCUUUGGUCACUGCUACAGAGACGAGUCGCCUUCGGCAACCCAACUUGUCGAACGCGAGUGAAACGAGCACACUGCGGGCUGCAAGCUCAAGUAAACCGGCGCUGAGGGCUGCUCGCCCAAGCCGGAGGGUAGAGCGCGAUAGACGUGCAUGGUAACAUGUACGCAAGAUUAAUGAUAAGCACACGAACAGAACCCCGCUUAUAGACCCGCUUUCGCU